GCGGCUGCAUGUGAAUGGCUUCAGGUAGCAUCACCAAAGAAGAAGAAUUUCCCUCCAAAAAAAUUGGUUUUAUUUUGCCAGCGAGUUCAGAAUUUGUUUACCAACUGAAUGAGUAAACCAACUCGAUGACCACCAUUCUAGACAACUUUCAACGCGCCGAAAAGAUCGGCGAGGGCACCUACGGGAUAGUUUACAAGGCGCGUAGCAACUCUACCGGCCAGGAUGUGGCGCUCAAAAAGAUUCGGCUGGAAGGCGAAACGGAGGGCGUUCCUUCGACGGCCAUUCGAGAGAUCUCCCUGCUGAAGAACCUUAAGCACCCGAAUGUGGUUCAGCUCUUCGACGUGGUGAUCUCCGGCAACAAUCUGUACAUGAUAUUCGAGUACCUGAACAUGGAUCUGAAGAAGCUGAUGGACAAGAAAAAAGAUGUUUUCACCCCUCAGUUAAUAAAGAGCUAUAUGCAUCAGAUAUUAGAUGCCGUCGGCUUUUGCCACACCAACCGUAUACUGCAUCGCGAUCUCAAGCCCCAGAACCUUCUCGUGGACACUGCGGGCAAAAUAAAGUUGGCUGAUUUUGGCCUUGCAAGGGCCUUCAACGUUCCUAUGCGAGCGUACACCCACGAAGUCGUCACCCUUUGGUACCGAGCACCGGAGAUUCUGUUGGGCACGAAGUUCUACUCCACGGGCGUUGACAUCUGGAGUCUAGGCUGCAUUUUCUCUGAGAUGAUAAUGCGCCGCUCCUUGUUCCCCGGGGACAGCGAGAUUGAUCAGCUUUAUAGAAUAUUUCGUACCUUAAGCACACCCGAUGAAACAAAAUGGCCAGGUGUGACACAACUACCAGACUUCAAGACCAAGUUUCCAAGAUGGGAGGGAACCAAUAUGCCACAGCCCAUAACCGAACACGAGGCUCACGAACUCAUAAUGUCAAUGCUGUGCUAUGAUCCCAACCUGCGCAUCUCAGCCAAGGACGCACUGAAGCACGCUUACUUCGGCAAUGUACAGCAUGUUGACCAUGUGGCCCUUCCUGUGGAUCCCAAUGCCGGCAGUGCUUCGCGCCUAACGCGGCUCGUCUAAGCAUGAGCAUAUCCAAUAGCCCCAGAUCUAGCAAAUUACUUGUGAUCUUUAGUAUACUGCCAGCUCAAUUUCAUGCAUUCCCCAUCCUCACUUGCACCUAACACAUACGAUAAAUACACGAUCAUCCAUAAGUAAA
rnacentral:misc_RNA from 1 species